AUGAAGACGCCUCUUCCAAAGUUACAUUGUGAGAGACUCUAUUUGGAAAUCGCUCCUCCUGCUUGGUUUUCAAAUAGUUAUAGGCUGUUGGUAAACUCAGCUAAGCACCAAUGUUACAGUGAUUUCCAUCUGAAACAUCCACGACAGGCACAUAACAUAUCUACCAAAAACUGGAAAGGGAAGAGAGAUAUGUCCUUUGGGGAUUCUGGUAUGGAGAAAGAAAACCAUGAGAGAAUAUACAGUGACCUGAAAGCUAACAUUUGUAUUCCUGUUGUGUAUGUUCAUAUACCUUUAUACUUUACACAUCUCCAGGGGUACAACAAAUGUGAAGUAAAAAAGAGAACAAUUUGUAUAUAUCUUUCAGGGUCUUUCCAUCCCUGUGCACUCAUUCCAUAUCCUGCUUACAUUUGUGCAUUGUGCAGUCUUCACAAAUAUCAAUUCUGCUAUGGCCAGAGGAGCUUCUGUUGUAUUUUGCUGGUGGAUACAUUGCAAAUGCACAGUAAUAUCAUUGCCUUCUGAAAUAUCUAGGAGGUUCUCCUGGUUGAGAGCAGCCAUUACUCCAGCCUACCUCAUCUACCAUCACAGAUUACUAGUGAUCAGCAUCCUCUUCCAAGAUGCAUCUUUUCCUUCUACAUAAAAUCCCAAGGCACUCAUCAGUCUCCUUUAAUCUUCACUGUCUGGUGGUGCUUCUAUCCAAUAAUCCAUUCAACAGGCCUCUGAAGAAAAGUACUUACGUUUCUGACACAUCUGUCUACAUCACCAUCAGCAUUGUCAUGUAAGCAGAACACAGGCGAAGUGUGGGAAGAUGGCACGAGAUGUGAUGCACAGCACAGUAUGAUAUUAUCAUCUUGUCCUUUCUUUUUGGUUUCUGCUGUCCUGAAGACAGGAAAAUCCAGCAAGUCUAGAAACAAAAGACAAAGUG
rnacentral:lncRNA from 1 species